CACGUAGGAGGCAAACGUUAUCCGGAUUUACUGGGCGUAAAGCGCGUGUAGGUGGUUCUGUAAGCAGGGCGUGAAAGCUCCCGGCUCAACUGGGAGAGGCCGUUCUAAACUGCAGAGCUAGAGGAUGGUAGAGGGAGGUGGAAUUCCAGGUGUAGCGGUGGAAUGCGCAGAUAUCUGGAGGAACACCAGUGGCGAAGGCGGCCUCCUGGACCAUUCCUGACACUCAGACGCGAAAGCUAGGGUAGCAAACGGGAUUAGAUACCCCGGUAGUCCCU
rnacentral:rRNA from 1 species